rnacentral:rRNA from 1 species
GACGGAGGAUGCAAGCGUUGUCCGGACUGAUUGGGCGUAAAGCGUUCGCAGGCGGCUGAUCAAGUCGGCUGUCAAAGACCGGGGCUUAACCCUAGAAAGGCAGUGGAAACUGAACGGCUGGAGUGCAGUAGGGGUAGAUGGAAAUCCCAGUGUAGCGGUGAAAUGCGUAGAGAUUGUGAAGAACACCGGUGGCGAAAGCGCUCUGCUGGACUUCAACUGACACUGAGGGACGAAAGCUAGGGGAGCGAAUGGG